UACGGGGGGGGGCAAGCGUUUGUUCGGAAUUACUGGGCGUAAAGGGCUCGUAGGUGGCCAACUAAGUCGGACGUGAAAUCCCUCGGCUUAACCGGGGAACUGCGUCUGAUACUGGAUGGCUUGAGUUCGGGAGAGGGAUGCGGAAUUCCAGGUGUAGCGGUGAAAUGCGUAGAUAUCUGGAGGAACACCGGUGGCGAAGGCGGCAUCCUGGACCGACACUGACGCUGAGGAGCGAAAGCCAGGGGAGCAAACGGG
rnacentral:rRNA from 1 species